UUACGACCAUAUCACAUUGAAACACUGGGUCUCGUACGAUCACCAAAGUUAAGCAACGUCGAGCCUUGUAAGUACCUAGAUCGGUGACUGCUUGGGAAUACCACGUACUGUAG